rnacentral:rRNA from 1 species
GGUGCGGAACACGUGUGCACUGCCUUUAUCUGGGGGAUAGCCUUUCGAAAGGAAGAUUAAUACCCCAUAAUAUGUUGAAUGGCAUCAUUCGACAUUGAAAACUCCGGUGGAUAGAGAUGGGCACGCGCAAGAUUAGAUAGUUGGUGAGGUAACGGCUCACCAAGUCUACGAUCUUUAGGGGGCCUGAAGGGUGAUCCGCAACUGGGACUGAACACGGCCAACUCCUACGGGAGGCAGCAGUGGGGAAUUUUGGACAAUGGGGGCGACCCUGAUCCAGCCAUGCCGCGUGCGGGAAGAAGGCCUUCGGGUUGUAAACCGCUUUUGUUCGGGAAGAAAUUGAUUGGGCUAAUACCCUGAUUAGAUGACGGUACCGGAAGAAUAAGCACCGGCUAACUACGUGCCAGCAGCCGCGGUAAUACGUAAGGGUGCGAGCGUAAUCGGAAUUAACUUGGCGUAAAGCGUGCGCAGGCGGUNUCCGCAAGUCAGAUGUGAAAAGCCCCCGGGCUCAAACCUGGGGAAAAUGCAUUUGAAAAAUUAAGAAGGCUAGAAGUGGUGUCCCGAAGGGGGGGUUCAAAACACCCACGUUGCAACCCGGGAAAC